CUCGGUUGUUUCAGAGAAUUAAGAAAAUAUACCAAUAUAUUAUGAGAAAUUGCACUAAAAAAAAAACUAUUUUGCCAAGGAGCCCAUAUAUUAUUUGUAUUGCAAAUUGUCUAAAUUUGUCGAACAUUUAUAGUGUAAAAUGGAGGCUACUUUGAUGAGAUGCUGUACUAAUAAUGGCGCUGCAUUCCGAGCCCUCAAACCUCUCCAAUUCAAACUUACAAACCCACCUCGUUGCUCUUGCUCUUUCUCUUUCUCUUAUCAGCUUCUCCACUCGGAUGGAUUAGGUUCUGUUAGGAGGGUAUAUGAUGGACUGUUAUUGGAUGCUGGGGGUACCCUUUUGCAGCUGGCAAAGCCAGUCGAAGAGACUUAUGCUACAAUUGGAGCCAAAUAUGGUCUGACUACAACUCCUGCUGAGAUAAAGCAAGGCUUUAAGAGAGUUUUUUCAGCUCCAUGGCCUGAGAAGCUUCGUUACCAGGGAGAUGGGAGGCCAUUUUGGAAACUUGUUGUUUCUGAAGCCACUGGAUGUUCUGAUGUUGAUUAUUUUGAAGAAGUUUAUGAGUACUAUGCUAAUGGCGAUGCUUGGCAUCUUCCUUCUGGAGCUUAUGAAGCGAUAAACCUUCUCAAGGAUGCUGGAGUUAAGGUUGCUGUAGUAUCAAAUUUUGAUACCCGCUUGAGGAAGCUCUUGAAGGACCUCAAUGUUAUAGACCUGUUUGAUGCAGUCAUUAUAUCUUCAGAGGUUAAGUAUGAAAAACCAGAUCCUAAGAUAUUUGGAGCAGCUUUAGUUUUGGUGAAUAUUCCUGGUUUGUGGGGGAAACGUUCAUUAAUAAAUCUACAGCCACUUCAACUCCAAACUAUAACAUUCUGAAAGAAUCCAUCAACACUACCUUGAACAAAUGUUUGAUUCAUUUUUAGAUCAAAUCAAUGUGGAGGCUUGCAAAGCUGUACAUGUUGGAGAUGAUAAAAAGACAGACAAGGUUGGUGCCAAUGCCAUUGGGAUUGAUUGCUGGUUAUGGGGAGUUGAUGUGAAGACAUUCUCGGACAUUCGAAAUGGCAUUCUCAUUUCAGAGUCAUAGUGCUUAUUUCUUGACAGUGAUUCAGGUUUCUUUGUUCAUUUGACCUGUCUCUUUUAAUAUGCUUUCGAUUGUAAACUCAAAUGCUUCAGAAAAGGAAAAUUAACUAGCCAGUCUUACAAAGAGCCAGCUUGCCUAUCA